AUCAUUCUGUUUGUGUACUCAAGCAUCAAACUGACAUUAGGAGCAUCUGUUGUCUUGCAAUGCAGUGGGAAGAGACAGAACGAUGGACAGUUCCUCUUUGUCAUUUUGUAUAACAUUAAAGAGUACUUCACUGACUGCGAGAAACAAUGGCUUGUCAAUGGAACUGUGACAGGACUUUGCUGAAGGAAAUCCGUCUUUCAUCUCUCCUAUUACAAGCCUGACCGCAAGCACCGCCACCCUCCAGGCGUGUCCUAAAAAUCUAGUGUGCCUGCUCUCCUGCCCCAGCGGCAAAAUCAAUGAAAAGCAGCUGUGCUCUUGUGAUUUCAGUCCUCUGACUUCACUACCUCAAGUGGGUUUUCUUGACUGGAGUGUUGGUGUUUGGAUCGGAGGGAGUGUGUCUGUGGUUCUGUUGGUGUCUGUGAUUAUCACCAUUGUACUUAAGAUUAAACAAAGGUCAAGAUUUGGUCCUAGAGUUCGAGUUCCUGCUGAACAGAUUGUUUGAUUCAGAACAAGUUCCAUCAUCACACCUGGACCUUUUAUCUUCAGUUAUUCAUUACUUUUACUCCAGAAGUAAUCUUUUUAUAAUUUCCAUCAUUAGCAUUAGCUGUAUUAUAAUGUGUGCGUUUGCUACAUUUAGCAUCUCAGUGCUUUAUAGCUUCUAGGAUUUUUUUUCAGCUUUUAAAAUAAAUCAUGACACUAGCCUGAAUGAAAUUACAUGAAAUAAUGAUAUUAUUUAGUUAGAAAUUAUACAUUUAUAUACAUGUACUGCAUGUGUCCACCUAUGAUGUGCACAUAUUGUGAACCUAACAUACAUAAAGUGAAUUUUAUGGCUGUUACACAAAUGGACACAUCCUCAGCAUGUAUAUUUGUUUAUAAAAAAUAUUUAUAUUUUAUAAAUAUAU